GGGCCCAUGGCGCAACGGUAGCGCGCCUCAUUUGCACUGAGGAGGUUAGGAGUUCGAGUCUCCUUGGGUCCA
rnacentral:tRNA from 1 species